CGGAGCCAGGCGGUCCGGGCCGGCCGGGGCUCACCUGGGCGGCGCUCGCAGCCGAGCUCAGACAGGGGCUCACCCCGCACUGCAAACGCCCUACUGCCUAGGCUGAAAGCCCCGCGCUCGCCGGGAUCUACACACAUUUUCCUUUAGAGGCGCCGGUUCCGGGCCAGCCCCAAGCUAGACCGCGGGGAGAGCUGCCCACGCGCCUCGGAAGUUCUCCGAGAAAUCCUGUUGAGCUCGAGUGAGAAAAGCGGCCCAGAAAUGGCCCGGGAAUAGGAAAGAAAAGACGAACCUGCUUCCUCCGAAAGGGAGGGAUUCGACUCAAGGUGGUGCUGUCUGCCGAGAUUUCCACUAUCCCCAGCAUCACGGCCCAGGCCCAGGGGCACGGGGGCUGGAAGGGGUGGGCCUAGAGCCCGCAGAGAACCAACCAGUAGCUGCAGAAAAUGAAGCUGAGCUGCUAAAGGGAAACAGAUUCUUCUAUAGAAAAGCACUCAUGGGCAGUAGUAACCCAUCUAAACCUAACACACGAAAUCGGUUGUGGCAUUAUACCCAUUUCACAGCUGUGGACACCAAGGUGCAGAGUGGUUAAGUGACUGGCUCAAUACCCAAUUUUAAGUGAUGGAUCUGGGAUUUGAACCCAAGAAGCCCAGCUGCGAGCAAUGCUCUUGCACCCCAGCCAGUGGUGGCAAACCUGUGGCACAGGUGCUGCAGUGGGCUGUUUAUCAUCAAAAGCUCUAAAAGUUUCACCAUUACUGCCACUAGGUUAUUGUCACUCUUAAUCGUGCUUAGAGUUGUCAGAUUUAGUAAAGAUAACAGGAUGUUUAUGGGGAUAUGCUUAUACUAAAAUUUCUUUUGUUUUUAAAAUCUGAAAUUCAAAUCGAAUGUCUUGAGUUGAGGGGGCACUCUAGGCCCUUCGCUUUAGUCUUCCUCCUCAUCUCAGAUGAAUCUAGUCUAAAUCAGAAAAAUCCUUGAACUUUGUUUUAUAAAUUACCUGCUGGCCCCACUGCACUGCCUGAUUUUGCAGUACAAUGUCAUGCUUCCUGUUUGACCUUUGUGGAACCCCAAGAUAUUGGAGUCCCUCCUGUCUCCUCAGAAGGGAAGUCAGACCCACCGUGGUGCUUUACCACAGAUGUAUGCUGCACGCCAUGGAUAUAACUGAAAAUUGUCUAGUACUGGCCAAUAGAGGGUUAAAAAAAAGCAGAUGGGGUUAGUUUUCCUAAUGUAGCUUAUUUAACCAGUAUACCCAAAUUAUCAUCUCUUCAGUAUAUAUUCAAUAUAAAAAUUAUUAGUGA